rnacentral:rRNA from 1 species
GACGAACGCUGGCGGCGUGCUUAACACAUGCAAGUCGAACGAUGAAGCCGGAGCUUGCUCCGGUGGAUUAGUGGCGAACGGGUGAGUAACACGUGAGCAAUCUGCCCUUGACUCUGGGAUAACUGCGGGAAACUGUAGCUAAUACCGGAUACGACACCUUGGGGCAUCCCAGGGUGUGGAAAGAAUUUCGGUCAAGGAUGAGCUCGCGGCCUAUCAGCUAGUUGGUGAGGUAAUGGCUCACCAAGGCGACGACGGGUAGCCGGCCUGAGAGGGUGGGCGGACAGAAUGGGACUGGGACACGGGCCAGACUCUGACGGGAGGGAGCAGUGGGGAAUAUUGCACCAUGGGCGCAAGCCUGAUGCAGCAACGCCGCGUGAGGGAUGACGGCCUUCGGGUUGUAAACCUCUUUUAGUAGGGAAGAAGCGAAAGUGACGGUACCUGCAGAGAAAGCACCGGCUAACUACGUGCCAGCCGCCGCGGUAA